rnacentral:lncRNA from 1 species
AACAAAUGGUAUAUAGUCAAUUUAUUCCGCGCAGUAACAAGGGACUAAAAAUCGAAAUACGCGUGAACAUUUUGAGGGUAAUUUCUGCUGGGACCGCACCUAAAAAUCCGAAAAUCUUGCACGCUCGUUGACGAGGUUAAGAGGGCAAAACGUUGUUGGUUGGGUUUGAAGGGAAAAAGUCGGGGUUGGGGUCGUGGGAAAAUUAAUUUUGUGGAAAAAAGAAAAUACACCAAAACAAAUCCACAGAUAGAAUAAACACAAUGGAUUGUAAGAUUACAAAUAUGUCUGAUCAGAGAGUUAAUGGCGCAAGAGGUAGAAAUUUUGGAAAAUACUGAUGAGGAAACCCUCAAAUGGCGAGAAGUAGGUCAGGACUCACCCUGGACUGUCAAAGACAUUUAAAAUGUUGACAUGAAGUGUUGGUUCGCAAAAGUUAUAACCUUGUGCUGGAAAGAGAAAAAUAUCCGCACUUGGGGAUGUGAAAGACUAAACAAGCAGCUGACCACCGUCUGGACAAAGAGAGAGACCGAUGGAGCUGUGCAAAUCGUGAGCUAUGAGAUGAAAAAAAACAGGCGCACAGGGUAUGAUUACCACGACUUUUAUAUUUUUGAUAAAAAUGGUAUGAUUGGAAGUGUGAGAAUAUGUUGUUUAGGCCUGAAAAUCGGGUUUAAACCAUUGAAUUGGGGAUGGUGGGAAAAACCUAAAAGGAACAUUUUGACAGAUCCUCGCUGAAACUGGACAUGGGUUGCUGCAUCUGAUCUUUAUGGUCGUAGUAGUUUUUGAGGCAAACUCGGCAUCAUCGAUCUGUUCAUCAUCAGCUAAAGCAGAGCUGACACAUUGUUCAACCAAGGACUUUUUGGACUGGGCCAAUCGCAAAGUAUCGUGGUGUUUCUUUUUCUUUUUGGUUACAUGCCUAGAAAUUAGUGUGAGAUCCAUUACGGUGGUAGCAUUCAAGCAAGAUAGAAAUCCC